CUUAUUCGAUGGUUUUUAUUGUGAGAGCGGCGUUUUAGAAUAGAGGAGACUGGAGUAGACGAAGACGAUAGAAGAUAUUGCUCUGUUGGUAUCGAGAGAAGGGCUUGGUCUGAGUUCCGUUUGGGUCGAUAGUGGGUUGUUAUUGUGGUGGAUUUUGAAAGGUUUACCAUCGAAGGGGUGUUGUUUGUCCUCGACCUUGGGAUUUCAGUGAUUGAUUGGAAGAGGUUCAAGGUUGUAUGCAAAAGGGUGCCUGGAUUGUUCUUCUGCCACUAUUCCUGAUUCUGUUAUUUGGUGUUAGUUUGGUGUACGUAUGUGAAGAACUCUUGAAGCUCCCGUCAUAGUCACGUACAAUAAUUGGAGAUAAUUACAAAUCGGCAUCAUCUGAAGCACCGAGGCAUCUCAGAGAAUUCCAACCCUCCUUCAUUGCAGAGAAUCCAUUGA